rnacentral:rRNA from 1 species
GACGAACGCUGGCGGCGUGCUUAACACAUGCAAGUCGAGCGGUAAGGCCCUUCGGGUACGACGAGCGGCGAACGGGUGAGUAACACGUGGGUGACCUGCCUCUAGCUCUGGGAUAAGCCUGGGAAACUGGGUCGUAAUACCGGAUAUGACUCCACGGCGCAUGUUGUGGGGUGGAAAGCCUUGUGCGGCUAGAGAUGGGCCCGCGGCCUAUCAGCUUGUUGGUGGGGUGAUGGCCUACCAAGGCGACGACGGGUAGCCGGCCUGAGAGGGCGACCGGCCACACUGGGACUGAGACACGGCCCAGACUCCUACGGGAGGCAGCAGUGGGGAAUCUUGCGCAAUGGGCGAAAGCCUGACGCAGCGACGCCGCGUGAGGGAUGGCGCCU